AGUAGUUGACUCCGUGCACGAGGACACGCUGGCGGCGUGCUUAACACAUGCAAGUCGAACGGUAAGGCUCCAGCUUGCUGGGGUACACGAGUGGCGAACGGGUGAGUAACACGUGGGUGACCUGCCCUGCACUUCGGGAUAAGCCUGGGAAACUGGGUCUAAUACCGGAUAGGACCGCACCGUGAGGGUGUGGUGGAAAGGUUUUUUCGGUGUGGGAUGGGCCCGCGGCCUAUCAGCUUGUUGGUGGGGUAAUGGCCUACCAAGGCGGCGACGGGUAGCCGGCCUGAGAGGGUGGACGGCCACAUUGGGACUGAGACACGGCCCAGACUCCUACGGGAGGCAGCAGUGGGGGAAUAUUGCACAAUGGGCGGAAGCCUGAUGCAGCGACGCCGCGUGGGGGAUGACGGCCUUCGGGUUGUAAACUCCUUUCACCAUCGACGAAGGGUUUCUGACGGUAGAUGGAGAAGAAGCACCGGCUAACUACGUG
rnacentral:rRNA from 1 species